UACAGAGGGUGCAAGCGUUAAUCGGAAUUACUGGGCGUAAAGCGAGCGUAGUCGGUUAUUUAAGUCGGAUGUGAAAUCCCCGGGCUCAACCUGGGAAUUGCAUUCGAAACUGGAUAGCUAGAGUUCGGCAGAGGGAAGCGGAAUUUCUGGUGUAGCGGUGAAAUGCGUAGAUAUCAGAAGGAACAUCAGUGGCGAAAGCGGCUUCCUGGACCAGAACUGACGAUCAGGCUCGAAAGCGUGGGGAGCAAACAGG
rnacentral:rRNA from 1 species